CAAACCAAAGCUGGCGACCGGCGCACGGGUGAGUAACACGUAUCCAACCUGCCUCAUACUCGGGGAUAGCCUUUCGAAAGAAAGAUUAAUAUCCGAUAGCAUAUAUUUCCCGCAUGGGUUUUAUAUUAAAGAAAUUCGGUAUGAGAUGGGGAUGCGUUCCAUUAGUUUGUUGGGGGGUAACGGCCCACCAAGACUCCGAUGGAUAGGGGUUCUGAGAGGAAGGUCCCCCACAUUGGAACUGAGACACGGUCCAA
rnacentral:rRNA from 1 species